GGUAGUCCACGCCCUAAACGAUGUCAACUAGCUGUUGGGGCCUUCGGGCCUUGGUAGCGCAGCUAACGCGUGAAGUUGACCGCCUGGGGAGUACGGUCGCAAGAUUAAAACUCAAAGGAAUUGACGGGGACCCGCACAAGCGGUGGAUGAUGUGGAUUAAUUCGAUGCAACGCGAAAAACCUUACCUACCCUUGACAUGUCUGGAAUCCCAAAGAGAUUAGGGAGUGCUCGCAAGAGAACCGGAACACAGGUGCUGCAUGGCUGUCGUCAGCUCGUGUCGUGAGAUGUUGGGUUAAGUCCCGCAACGAGCGCAACCCUUGUCAUUAGUUGCUACGAAAGGGCACUCCAAUGAGACUGCCGGUGACAAACCGGAGGAAGGUGGGGAUGACGUCAAGUCCUCAUGGCCCUUAUGGGUAGGGCUUCACACGUCAUACAAUGGUCGGGACAGAGGGUCGCCAACCCGCGAGGGGGGGCCAAUCCCAGAAACCCGAUCGUAGUCCGGAUCGUAGUCUGCAACUCGACUACGUGAAGUCGGAAUCGCUAGUAAUCGCGGAUCAGAAUGUCGCGGCGAAUACGUUCCCGGGUCUUGUACACACCGCCCGUCACACCAUGGGAGUGGGUUCCACCAGAAGUAGUUAGCCUAACCGCAAGGAGGGCGAUUACCACGGUGGGGUUCAUGACUGGGGUGAAGUCGUAACAAGGUAGCCGUAUCGGAAGGUGC
rnacentral:rRNA from 1 species